rnacentral:rRNA from 1 species
AUGGGGCACCACGUCCGCCGAUUAGUCCUGGUGCUCCUCUUCGCCGCCGCGGCCAUGGCAACUAGUGAAGUGGAGACGACGCCGCCGAUCCCGGACCAGAUAGUCCUCCCGCCACUCCCGUCGCCGGCCGACAUCCCGGCCACGCCGCCGUGCCUGAACAGUAUAACCGUGUGCGGGGUAGUCUACGGGGACCCCUCCAAGCUGGCGCCGUGCUGCGUCGCGGUCAAGAAGCUCUUCAAGAGCGACCCGGAGUGCAUCUGCAACGCCGUCGGUGAGGCCCAGAAGUUCGCAAAGAAGUGGGGGGUCAACAACACCGUCGACGGCCUGGAGAUGUUCCGCCAGUGCCAGAUGCCUACCACCAGCUGCGACCCCCGAAAACCAGGUUAG